rnacentral:lncRNA from 1 species
GAAACAUUCCAAAUUAAUGAUGCUUCAGGAUUUCAUUAAUCAAAUAUUGAGAACAUCUUGCACCCUUUUAUCUCACAAAGGAGACCGUUCUCCUCAGCUGUUGAGUUCUGAAUCAUAAAAUGAAAACCCAGGGAGUUUUAGAGGUCCAGUUCAACCUCCAUAGAAGGAGCAGUCAGCCGAGUUCUUUGUGUAUUCAGUGGUACGGGUGUUCCACACAAGGGCCAUUGUCCUGUCAGCAUUUAAUAAAUGGCAAACCACAAAAACACUAACCUUGAUAAUUGCCGGAUAAAUCCGAGGAAGUCUAAUUUUACUUGGAAAUAUAAAAGGAUAUGUUUCCAAUCUGCAGUCUGUAAGAACAGGGAGAAAAGGACACACAUAUUCAGUCUACCGCCCUCUCUUCUUUGUGUUCUCAAGCUAUCCCUUUUUUCAACAGCUUGGCGGAAAGGAGAAAUAGACCACUUAUUUUCUGAACAGGAAACACACGGCAAGAAAGCAGCCCAUGAAGCAGAGCCACUAAAGAGAGCACUUGCUGUUCCAGAUAGAGGUCUCCAGGGGGCGAUGAAGAGAAACAUCAUAGUCCCUUUGCAAGUUGCUCAAGGGCUCCAAUGAACUAACGGCAACAAUGUUCCGAAAGCUGUUCUUGGACGUCAGAUGGCUAUUUGAUUUGGCAGAUUCAGUGGCUAGUACUUUUCCUUCAGCCAAUUUACUGGAAGCCCCUCCCUUUUUUACUCCUUCCCCUCUUCUCAGGCACAUAAGCUCCCUAUGUUUUAAACAGUUUUAGAAUGUUCAUUUUGUUCUGUUAUUAACUGAAUUUUUUAUUCUAAUGUACAAGCAUUUCAUAUGUUUCCUUUGUUAAAAUAACUCUUUCAUGUUUCAGGAAACUAGCCUGUAGGGUAUCUCAGGGGAUAAAUUCUAAUACUUAAGCGCAGUCUUUAAAAAUCACUUUGACAUAUUAUUAUUAGGUUUAUUAAUAUGACUUAGCUUUCAUUUCAUUAGUAAGAAUUCAAGUUUCCCAUCUCUUUCUUGAAAUUAUGUGAUGUGUUUUUAGCCCAUUUGUUUCUGUAGUCAGUUCCUCUAAUGUACAACCUAGAAAUCUUGAAGGGAAAGAAGUUACAAUAGAAGCUCAAAGGAAAUUCAUCAUGAAGCUGAUUCUAAAUUUCCUUGAAAAGGCACAAGAUAUAGAACAACAAAAACAUUGUUGGAAAAGAAGACUGAAGUGAGAGGAACGACACUAUCUGAUUUUAGAACUUAACGCUACAGUAAUCAAGACAUUGCGAUAUUGGCAAAAGGAUAGACACAUAGAUCAAUGGAACAAAAAGAGAGUCAAGAAAUAGACCUACACAAAUAUGGUCAAUUGAUUUCUGACAAAGGUGCAAAGGCAAUUCAAUGGAGAAUGGAGAGUUUUGUCAACAAAUGGUAUUGCAACAAUUGGACAACUUUAUGCAAAAAAAUGAACUUCAACCUAAAACUCUCUCCAUAUACAAAAAGUAACUCAAAACGAAUCAUAGAUCUAAAUAUAAACUGUAAUACUAUAAAACUUUUAGAAGAAAACAUAGGAGAAAGUCGUCAUGAUCUUUAGUUAGGCAAAGAGCUCUUAGACAUGACACAAAAACAAAUUCCGUUAAAAACAAAGAUCUAUAAAUUGUAAUUCAUCAAAAUUAAAAAGUUUUAUUUCAUGUAAGGCACUAUCAAGAGAACUAAAAGACAAGCUAUAGACUAGGAGAAUGUAUUUGCAAAGCACAUGUCUGACCAAGAACUUGAACUCUCUACACUCAAAGUAACAAAACAAAUAAUCCAAUUUAAAAAUGAACAAAGACUUGACCGGACACACCAGUACAGAGGAUGUAAUGAUGAAAAAUAAGCACAUGAAAAGAUGUUCAACAUCAGAACAUCUUCAAAAUUAUUGGGAAACUGCAACUUAAAACUGAAGUGAGACCCACUGUACAUCUAUAAGAAUAGCUAAAAUAAAAACUACAGAUGAUACCA